UACGUAGGGGGCAAGCGUUGUCCGGAAUCAUUGGGCGUAAAGCGCGUGUAGGCGGCUUGGUAAGUCCGCUCUGAAAGCCCGGGGGCUCAACCCCGGGAGGCGGGUGGAUACUGUCAAGCUCGAGUCCGGAAGAGGCGAGUGGAAUUCCUGGUGUAGCGGUGAAAUGCGCAGAUAUCAGGAGGAACACCAAUGGCGAAGGCAGC
rnacentral:rRNA from 1 species